rnacentral:lncRNA from 1 species
CUCCACCUGGUCCUGACCUUGACACAUGGGGAUUAUGGGGAUUACAGUUCCUGGUGGGAUUUGGGUGGGGACACAGAGCCAAACCAUAUCACUAUCUCUCCCCCUCAUCCCCUCUCUCUCUAUUAAAUCCCUUAUUGGUUCUGUUUCUCUGGAAAACCCUGAAUACAGUGGGAAAGAGGUAAACCUUUGUGGUUGUAAGCUACUGAGACUUUGGGGUUAUUUGUUACUGUAGCAUGAUCUGGCCUAUUCUAAUUUAUACAGUGGGAUUUUUUUUUCCCCCACAAACACUAAGGAAGUAGCAUGUGGAAGGCCAGACCUUCUGUUGCCAUCAGUAGGGGGGUUUCUGUAGUCUGAGGACCUAUGAGCCUUUUGGGUUACCUUUGACUUGCACUUGGGCUUUUAUGUUGAUGCCAAGCAGUAUGUUUAUACUUCUCUAAAAUGUAUUUUUCUCUAUAUAAAUAGUGUUUUUGUUAACUCUCACCGGCUCCAGUCUCAACUUUUGCCUCUAAUUUUUCCCAUAAUAUUCACUAACUCUAGUGAUAGCUGUCUAUGCGCAUUGUACUGAGACUAAUUCAGAGAGUGGGUUGGAUGAACUUUGGUUUGAUUUGUACGUAAUUGUUAAAAACUGUGUUUAAGAAAACAGUUGUACCCUUGGCAAAACCUGGAAGUCUCUAUGUUAACAAUUUUCCCAAUUUUUGUUUUAGGAAGCCAUUCUGCAUAUUAUGUUUUUAAAUAAAAGGAUUUGACUUUGGGCUGACAAUUUAGCAUUUAACCACUGUCUCCGCACCAGUUCCACAAGAGCAGGGAUUUAGAUUAAUUGGAAAAACCUCAUUGGUUUCUGAUGGAGGGGGCAUUCAUAGAAACAACCUACUGACAACUAAGGAGCUACUGCGAUGGGAUGGGCAGCCUGCAGCUUCACUCGGUGGGCAGCCUCCACAGGUAUCGUAUCUGAUUUCAGAUACAUAUGAUGGUCUCAAGUGUGUUUUUUACCACCACCACUUUGUAGGCCUGUUGAUGCCACUGCUGUUGAAGUCUAUGUGAAUGGUGCCCCCUGGUGGAAGGAAAAAGGCCACGAUGAAAAGACUCCUGGAAAACCAUGAGGUGGCCCUCCCAAACCCUAAGAUUGGAAUGUGGUUUUCCUAGGGAAAGAAGACUCAUGAGCUGUCUGGAGAAUGUCAUAUGGUUGGAAUGUCAUAUGGUAUGGACAUACAAACUGAAAAAAAAAAGAGAGGGGUAGGAAGAGAGGACCCUUAAGAUAACUACGAGCCACAGGGUCUACCACUUCACUCCAGGGAUGAUGAGAGGCAUUAAGUGAAGAAGGGAUGUGACUCAGUAGCUUUGAAAAAUUCAGAACACUCAGUUGACCUCUGAUAGCAAGGGUGUAGCACUGGCCUAAAUGGCACCAAGAACUUGGGUGUCUCUGGGAUGUAGCAGUGCUGGCCAGAGGAGGUCAGCUCUAAAAUAACCUGACAUGGAAGGGUUUCCUGGUAUGACCCUGAACUUGACCAUUGCUCAACUGUGAGCACUCUGGGAGCAGGAUUCGAGUCUGUGUCUAUCUGUCCUUUUUCUCUACACCAUGCUGCCUGUAACUGUGUGUAUAUUUGUUUUAUCCUUCCAACUAAGGUAUUCAUAUUUACAUCUGUUUCUAUUUCUAUGAUACAACAAUGGGCAGAAUUUUCUUUUCUUUUUUUUUUUUUUUUUUGAGAUGGAGUCUUGCUCUGUUGCCCAGGCUGGAGUGCAGUGGCCCAAUCUCUGCUCACUGCAAGCUCCACCUCCCAGGUUCAGCCCAUUCUCCUUCCUCAGCCUCCUGAGUAGCUGGGACUACAGGUGCCCGCCCCACGCCUGGCUAAUUUUUUGUAUUUUUAGUAGAGACGGGGUUUCACCGAGUUAGUCAGGAUGGUCUCGAUCUCCUGACCUCGUGAUCCGUCCACCUCGGCCUCCCAAAGUGCUGGGAUUACAGGCAUGAGCCAGUGCGCCCGGUCCAGAAUUUUCUUUUGAAUGUCAGUUGGUUUUAGGGAAUUUUUCCUUAUUUGUACUUUUUUGUGUAUUUUUCUCUUCUGGAUUCCUGUUACUCAAGUUUAAAAUAAAUGAGAUGAAACUAAACAUUUAUUUGAAUUUCAACUCUGUAUUAUAUUUCUUUUAAUUGUUUAGCCUAUCUUGAAAUUAUAAUUGGGAUGGUGUUUGUUUUACGACUUAAAACAAUUCAGGAUUAUUUCAGUCAAAAAUAUGAAAUCAAUGCCUUUUUGAUGAAUAGAGGCUUUACAUCUGAAUAAUAAAUAGGCUGUUCUUUGUUUUCAUAAACAGCUGGGGAA